rnacentral:rRNA from 1 species
UACGUAGGGUGCGAGCGUUGUCCGGAAUUAUUGGGCGUAAAGAGCGUGUAGGCGGCCCGAUUAGUCCGCUGUGAAAGUCCAGGGCUCAACCCUGGAAUGCCGGUGGAAACUGUCGGGCUAGAGUCCGGAAGGGGCGAGUGGAAUUCCUGGUGUAGCGGUGAAAUGCGCAGAUAUCAGGAGGAACACCAAUGGCGAAGGCAGCUCGCUGGGACGUGACUGACGCUGAGACGCGAAAGCGUGGGGAGCAAACAGG